rnacentral:rRNA from 1 species
UACGUAGGCAGCAAGCGUUGUUCGGAAUCACUGGGCGUAAAGGGUGCGUAGGCGGGUCUUUAAGUCAGGGGUGAAAUCCUGGAGCUCAACUCCAGAACUGCCUUUGAUACUGGCAAUCUCGAGUCCGGGAGAGGUGAGUGGAACUGCGAGUGUAGAGGUGAAAUUCGUAGAUAUUCGCAAGAACACCAGUGGCGAAGGCGGCUCACUGGCCCGGUACUGACGCUGAGGUGCGAAAGCGUGGGGA